AUUGAACGCUGGCGGCAUGCCUUACACAUGCAAGUCGAACGGUAACGCGGGGCAACCUGGCGACGAGUGGCGAACGGGUGAGUAAUACAUCGGAACGUGCCCAGUAGUGGGGGAUAGCCCGGCGAAAGCCGGAUUAAUACCGCAUACGACCUACGGGUGAAAGCAAGGGAUCGCAAGACCUUGCGCUAUUGGAGCGGCCGAUGUCAGAUUAGGUUGUUGGUGGGGUAAAAGCCUACCAAGCCGACGAUCUGUAGCUGGUCUGAGAGGACGACCAGCCACACUGGGACUGAGACACGGCCCAGACUCCUACGGGAGGCAGCAGUGGGGAAUUUUGGACAAUGGGCGCAAGCCUGAUCCAGCCAUGCCGCGUGCGGGAAGAAGGCCUUCGGUUGUAACGACUUUGUCAGGAAGAAACGGACUCGUGGGUCGUAAUUAACCCCCGGGGGUAAACGUUAGACGGUACCUG
rnacentral:rRNA from 1 species